CCACCCCACCGGCGGAGGGAACUCGCUUCUCGUAUCGCUGCUUCCUCUUCUUAGCGGCAGCUCUCUCCAUAUCUCGUUCUGUCCUAGGGUUAGGGUUAACUUAUUCUUCAGGCGAUGGCCGAUGAGACGGCGACGACGGGGUUGCUGGGGUUCAAGCCGCAGCUGGUUGUGCCGGGGAUGAAGGCGGAGGUAGCAGUGCAGUUCUAUAAGGCAGCAUUCGGAGCGAAGGAGCUCCGGCGGGUGGCGCAUCCCAAGCGCAAGGCAGAGCAAGAGCUCCCCCUCAUCCUCUCCGCCGAGCUCAAGAUCGGCUCGUCGUUCCUGCUCGUCAACGACCGCUUCGACGACGCGGGGGAGGACGGCUCCACGGUGGCGAGUGGUGGUGGAAUCUUGUUGCGGCUGGAGGCGGAGGAUGUGGACGCGGUCUUGAAGAAGGCGGUGACCGCAGGAGCGGAGAUCGUUGGCGAGGUGACGGAGGAUGAGGGUGGCGUUUGUGGGAAGGUGAGGGACCCGUUCGGCGUGGUCUGGGUCAUCGCGGCCGUGGGCAAGAAGUGCCCCGAGGCGGAGGCUUGAACUGGGCAGUCGCAAAGUAGUCCAACGUUGGGUAUACCCUUCUAUGGGUUAAAGCUUCCCUUCAAGACUGUUGUUAAGGGCGACGGACGUCGUCACAGUCGUCGUUAAAGCUUCCCUUAGACCAAGGCUCUUCUUUUGCAGGAAAUGAGGCCAGGCAGACCAUCGCAGCGUGGUCUCUGCGAUGGUUUCGGGAAAGUUGGUUUUUCUCCGUGCUGAUUGAUACCAACUAGACGAUAUGUUUUGCUGGAUAAGGCAGAAACGACUGCUCGUAUUGAUGAAUGUGCUUGAUCGCCGGUCAACAGCUUUUUCUAUCGAUGCUGAUCGCAGGUAGCAAGAGUGCAAUCUUUCCUUAGGUCAAUGCUUAAGUUCUUUAGCAUAACGCCUGGACCUGAAAUUGCUAUCAACAUGGUGAAACUACGUGACCAUU